rnacentral:rRNA from 1 species
GAAUAUUGGACAAUGGGGGAAACCCUUAUCCAGCGACGCCGCGUGGGUGAAGAAGGCCUGCGGGUUGUAAAGCCCUUUCGGUGGGGAGGAAAAGCCCCGACCUAAUACGUCGGGGUCUUGACGUCACCCACAAAAGCAGCACCGGCCAACUCUGUGCCAGCAGCCGCGGUAAUACAGAGGGUGCGAGCGUUAAUCGGAAUUACUGGGCGUAAAGCGCACGUAGGCGGCUGUGCAAGUCGGGUGUGAAAUCCCCGGGCUCAACCUGGGAACUGCAUUCGAUACUGCAUUGCUGGAGUAUGGGAGAGGGAAGUGGAAUUUCCGGUGUAGCGGUGAAAUGCGUAGAUAUCGGAAGGAACACCAGUGGCGAAAGUGACUUCCUGGACCAAUACUGACGCUCAGGUGCGAAAGCGUGGGGAGCAAACAGG